GUUAAGCGACUAAGCGUACACGGUGGAUGCCCUGGCAGUCAGAGGCGAUGAAGGACGUGCUAAUCUGCGAUAAGCGUCGGUAAGGUGAUAUGAACCGUUAUAACCGGCGAUUUCCGAAUGGGGAAACCCAGUGUGAUUCGUCACACUAUCAUUAACUGAAUCCAUAGGUUAAUGAGGCGAACCGGGGGAACUGAAACAUCUAAGUACCCCGAGGAAAAGAAAUCAACCGAGAUUCCCCCAGUAGCGGCGAGCGAACGGGGAGCAGCCCAGAGCCUGAAUCAGUGUGUGUGUUAGUGGAAGCGUCUGGAAAGGCGCGCGAUACAGGGUGACAGCCCCGUACACAAAAAUGCACAUGCUGUGAGCUCGAUGAGUAGGGCGGGACACGUGGUAUCCUGUCUGAAUAUGGGGGGACCAUCCUCCAAGGCUAAAUACUCCUGACUGACCGAUAGUGAACCAGUACCGUGAGGGAAAGGCGAAAAGAACCCCGGCGAGGGGAGUGAAAAAGAACCUGAAACCGUGUACGUACAAGCAGUGGGAGCACGCUUAGGCGUGUGACUGCGUACCUUUUGUAUAAUGGGUCAGCGACUUAUAUUCUGUAGCAAGGUUAACCGAAUAGGGGAGCCGAAGGGAAACCGAGUCUUAACUGGGCGUUAAGUUGCAGGGUAUAGACCCGAAACCCGGUGAUCUAGCCAUGGGCAGGUUGAAGGUUGGGUAACACUAACUGGAGGACCGAACCGACUAAUGUUGAAAAAUUAGCGGAUGACUUGUGGCUGGGGGUGAAAGGCCAAUCAAACCGGGAGAUAGCUGGUUCUCCCCGAAAGCUAUUUAGGUAGCGCCUCGUGAAUUCAUCUCCGGGGGUAGAGCACUGUUUCGGCAAGGGGGUCAUCCCGACUUACCAACCCGAUGCAAACUGCGAAUACCGGAGAAUGUUAUCACGGGAGACACACGGCGGGUGCUAACGUCCGUCGUGAAGAGGGAAACAACCCAGACCGCCAGCUAAGGUCCCAAAGUCAUGGUUAAGUGGGAAACGAUGUGGGAAGGCCCAGACAGCCAGGAUGUUGGCUUAGAAGCAGCCAUCAUUUAAAGAAAGCGUAAUAGCUCACUGGUCGAGUCGGCCUGCGCGGAAGAUGUAACGGGGCUAAACCAUGCACCGAAGCUGCGGCAGCGACACUAUGUGUUGUUGGGUAGGGGAGCGUUCUGUAAGCCUGUGAAGGUGUACUGUGAGGUAUGCUGGAGGUAUCAGAAGUGCGAAUGCUGACAUAAGUAACGAUAAAGCGGGUGAAAAGCCCGCUCGCCGGAAGACCAAGGGUUCCUGUCCAACGUUAAUCGGGGCAGGGUGAGUCGACCCCUAAGGCGAGGCCGAAAGGCGUAGUCGAUGGGAAACAGGUUAAUAUUCCUGUACUUGGUGUUACUGCGAAGGGGGGACGGAGAAGGCUAUGUUGGCCGGGCGACGGUUGUCCCGGUUUAAGCGUGUAGGCUGGUUUUCCAGGCAAAUCCGGAAAAUCAAGGCUGAGGCGUGAUGACGAGGCACUACGGUGCUGAAGCAACAAAUGCCCUGCUUCCAGGAAAAGCCUCUAAGCAUCAGGUAACAUCAAAUCGUACCCCAAACCGACACAGGUGGUCAGGUAGAGAAUACCAAGGCGCUUGAGAGAACUCGGGUGAAGGAACUAGGCAAAAUGGUGCCGUAACUUCGGGAGAAGGCACGCUGAUAUGUAGGUGAAGUCCCUCGCGGAUGGAGCUGAAAUCAGUCGAAGAUACCAGCUGGCUGCAACUGUUUAUUAAAAACACAGCACUGUGCAAACACGAAAGUGGACGUAUACGGUGUGACGCCUGCCCGGUGCCGGAAGGUUAAUUGAUGGGGUUAGCGCAAGCGAAGCUCUUGAUCGAAGCCCCGGUAAACGGCGGCCGUAACUAUAACGGUCCUAAGGUAGCGAAAUUCCUUGUCGGGUAAGUUCCGACCUGCACGAAUGGCGUAAUGAUGGCCAGGCUGUCUCCACCCGAGACUCAGUGAAAUUGAACUCGCUGUGAAGAUGCAGUGUACCCGCGGCAAGACGGAAAGACCCCGUGAACCUUUACUAUAGCUUGACACUGAACAUUGAGCCUUGAUGUGUAGGAUAGGUGGGAGGCUUUGAAGUGUGGACGCCAGUCUGCAUGGAGCCGACCUUGAAAUACCACCCUUUAAUGUUUGAUGUUCUAACGUUGACCCGUAAUCCGGGUUGCGGACAGUGUCUGGUGGGUAGUUUGACUGGGGCGGUCUCCUCCUAAAGAGUAACGGAGGAGCACGAAGGUUGGCUAAUCCUGGUCGGACAUCAGGAGGUUAGUGCAAUGGCAUAAGCCAGCUUGACUGCGAGCGUGACGGCGCGAGCAGGUGCGAAAGCAGGUCAUAGUGAUCCGGUGGUUCUGAAUGGAAGGGCCAUCGCUCAACGGAUAAAAGGUACUCCGGGGAUAACAGGCUGAUACCGCCCAAGAGUUCAUAUCGACGGCGGUGUUUGGCACCUCGAUGUCGGCUCAUCACAUCCUGGGGCUGAAGUAGGUCCCAAGGGUAUGGCUGUUCGCCAUUUAAAGUGGUACGCGAGCUGGGUUUAGAACGUCGUGAGACAGUUCGGUCCCUA
rnacentral:rRNA from 1 species